CCCACUGUUAUCUCGAUGAAGGCGGUUAUUCAUGUCUUUCGCCACAGCUUCGACACAGAGAGGAAGUGUUCUGGAUGACCAAGUACUGGUUGAACCAUCUUGGACAGGGAAGCUGGCUAAUGAAGACCCAGUUCAACUUUGAUAUCUCGGAUACAGAGGAGGCCACUGCAGCCUAUGCUGUGGGAGUUGAACAAAAGUAACAGGUGGUUACAGUGCAAUCUAGCAAGCGGUUUACAGAAUCACACUCAGAGACUGAAAUGAGACAGCAGGGGAAAAAGAGUUUUGUUGAUGCUACCAUGAGGAAAAUCCACUCACGUCACCAAACUUUUCCGGGAUUGGCAGAAACAGGGCAACAAGACAGCUACAGACCCAUGCUACAAUAUGAGUCCCAUUGGAGUUCCGUUUGAGGAAAUGACAGCUGAUGAACUGAACUAUUGCAUUUUAAGUUUUGUUGUUGAAAUAAGCCGGGAAAAUGUUGACCAUUAUCCUGGGGAGACUCUACGAGGAAUGGUUCUCAUGCUCGAAAUAUAUUUGGAGACUCGGGGGAUGUAUUAAAAGUUUAUGACUUGUCUUUAUUUAAUUGAUAAUGGACAGCAAUUGUGUUUAAUAUCAUUGUUUCCGGAAAUGGCGAGUUUUUGUGUUGGUAAUGAAGAGUUAUUAUAUUAGUGAUGAUUAGUUAUUGUAUUGGUAAUGAUGAGUUUUUGUCUAACAAGCCUUUACCGGUCAGUAUUGCCCUACAGGGACAACAGGAAUAUACCCCAUGCCUGGAUUUUACUACAAAUUAAUGUACAAAGAUUCAACGUGAAAUGAACAACGCUUGUUCUAUUGACCAUUCACAUCAACCCUUCUUGUUGAAGUCCAACAGGUAAUAAAUAUUGAUAAUUUCACCAUAAAGUCGACCAGUCCUUUCGAACUUUAAACAUAGUUUAAUGGAUAACUACGGGAAGUAUCCGGUUCGUCGGUGACUUCGUCGUACACGCACACACCACUGACCGCAGGCUUCCA